GAUGAACGCUAGCUACAGGCUUAACACAUGCAAGUCGAGGGGCAGCGGGAUUGAAGCUUGCUUCAAUUGCCGGCGACCGGCGCACGGGUGAGUAACGCGUAUCCAACCUUCCGUACACUCAGGGAUAGCCUUUCGAAAGAAAGAUUAAUACCUGAUGGUAUGAUGAGAUUGCAUGAUAGCAUCAUUAAAGAUUUAUCGGUGUACGAUGGGGAUGCGUUCCAUUAGGUAGUAGGCGGGGUAACGGCCCACCUAGCCAACGAUGGAUAGGGGUUCUGAGAGGAAGGUCCCCCACAUUGGAACUGAGACACGGUCCAAACUCCUACGGGAGGCAGCAGUGAGGAAUAUUGGUCAAUGGACGAGAGUCUGAACCAGCCAAGUAGCGUGAAGGAUGAAGGUCCUACGGAUUGUAAACUUCUUUUAUAAGGGAAUAAACCCUCCCACGUGUGGAGCUUGUAUGUACCUUAUGAAUAAGCAUCGGCUAACUCCGUGCCAGCA
rnacentral:rRNA from 1 species